ensembl:lncRNA
GGUGGUGGUAUUAUUAUUAUUAGUUAGUAGUAGUAGUAGUAGUAGUAGUGGUAUUAUUAUUAUUAUUAGUAGUAGUAGUAUUAAUGGUGGUGGUAUUAUUAUUUUAUUAUUAUUAUAGUAGUAGUAGUAGUAGUAGUAUUAAUGGUGGUGGUAUUAUUAUUAUUAGUAGUAGUAGUAGUAGUAGUAGUAGUAGUGUGGUAUUAAUUAUUAGUAGUAGUAGUAUUAAUGGUGGUGGUAUUAUUAUUGUUAGUAGUAGUAUUAAUGGUGGUGGUAUUAUUAUUAUUAUUAGUAGUAGUAGUAGUAGUAGUAGUAGUAGUAGUAGUGGUAUUAAUGGUGGUGGUAUUAUUAUUAUUAGUAUUAUUAUAGUAGUAGUAGUAGUAGUAGUAGUAGUAUUAAUGGUGGUGGUAUUAUUAUAUAUAGUAGUAUUAAUGGUGGUAUUAUUAUUAUUAACAGUAGUAGUAGAUAUACAUUUUAUUGCAUUUGGCAGACGUCCUUAUCCAGAGCGACUUACAUUUGUCUCAUUUGUACAACUGAGCAAUUGAGGGUUAAGGGCCUUGCACAAGGGCCCAACAGUGGUAGCUUAGCAGUGCUGGGGCUUGAACUCCUGUCCUUCUGAUCAGUACCCAGAGCCUUUAACCACUGAGCCACCACUGCCCCAGUAAUAAUAAUAGUGGUAUUAUUAUUAUUAUUAUUAUU